rnacentral:rRNA from 1 species
UACGUAGGCAGCGAGCGUUGUUCGGAGUUACUGGGCGUAAAGGGUGUGUAGGCGGUUCUCUAAGUUUGGUGUGAAAUCUCCCGGCUCAACCGGGAGGGUGCGCCGAAAACUGGAGGGCUAGAGUGCGGGAAGGGAGAGUAGAAUUCCUGGUGUAGCGGUGAAAUGCGCAGAUAUCAGGAAGAACACCCGGUGGCGAAGGCGGCUCUCUGGGACCGGUCACUGACGCUGAGACGCGAAAGCGUGGGGAGCAACAGG